GAACUUACCUGCUGCCGGGGCCUCGUUGAUCACCGAGGACAAGCCUCCUAAGCGAGGUGGGGGUAUUGCACUGGGCUCGCGUUGACCCCUGCCACUACCCCAAAGUGGGGCAGUUGGGGCACGCCAAUUUCUUAAAGGAGCCAU
rnacentral:snRNA from 1 species